UGACUGGUCUGUGCUGCAACUCGAAUCAGGUGAGCUACCCCUUUUCUCCUAACACACACAUUACUAUGUGUAACAGGAUUAGGUGAUUGACAGCAGUGUUUGCCUAUCAGUGAAUAGUACCUCCUAUUUAAAGGCCGAUUGGCUGUUACCUGGGAUGCGUCACGUCCGUUUUCCCCCUUUGUUUUGGCUGUGUUGACGGUGGCUGUGGGUAAGUGUGCUGUGUUUUAAUAUGGUGACUUAGACAUUGUUGGCGUGCAUAAUCUGAAAACUGUUUAUUUAAUUAGAGUGCAGUUUCUAUAUUCUGGUGUUGCUGCCCUUUUGGUGCUGCUUAGUGGGUCUGAUGACUGUUUGCCUCUCAGUAUACAUGACUUCCUGUACCCCAUGGUGGUAGCGGUGGGUAUGACUGUGACAAGCCCGUGCCUAUGAAGCAUUUUAUUCGGCGUGAUAUCCUGAUGGAGCUGGGGUCCCACGGGUGGUUUGAUCUUCCUCCUUGUGGUGGUGGUUCUCCUUCAUCGUGUGCGGUGUACACCUUGAGUGUUUGAUAGUGUGAUUAGAGUGCACGGGUGGAAGUGUGCUCUUGUGAAACCAAACUCUACAUUGAUCCCAGCCGUUGGGAGCCUCAGCCCCUGCUGGUAUUAAUCCGUCUUUGUUUUACAUAUAUACACAUAAAUACAUACUACUUCAAGUUGGUUUUGUUUGAUAUCUUUCUCUUUUUGUAAUUUGUGUUCUUGUGUUUGAAGUGGGGUUUCAUGUAUUUUUCUGUGAUUCAUUGUUUUGUAUUUUAAUUAACUUUUGUAUUAAUAAA